UAAUGGGUGAUGGCGUGCCUUUUGUAGAAUGAACCGGCGAGUUACGAUUUGAUGCAAGGUUAAGCAGUAAAUGUGGAGCCGUAGCGAAAGCGAGUCUGAAUAGGGCGUUUAGUAUUUGGUCGUAGACCCGAAACCAGGUGAUCUACCCUUGGUCAGGUUGAAGUUCAGGUAACACUGAAUGGAGGACCGAACCGACUUACGUUGAAAAGUGAGCGGAUGAACUGAGGGUAGCGGAGAAAUUCCAAUCGAACCUGGAGAUAGCUGGUUCUCUCCGAAAUAGCUUUAGGGCUAGCCUCAAGUGAUGAUUAUUGGAGGUAGAGCACUGUUUGGACGAGGGGCCCCUCUCGGGUUACCGAAUUCAGACAAACUCCGAAUGCCAAUUAAUUUAACUUGGGAGUCAGAACAUGGGUGAUAAGGUCCGUGUUCGAAAGGGAAACAGCCCAGACCACCAGCUAAGGUCCCAAAAUAUAUGUUAAGUGGAAAAGGAUGUGGCGUUGCCCAGACAACUAGGAUGUUGGCUUAGAAGCAGCCAUCAUUUAAAGAGUGCGUAAUAGCUCACUAGUCGAGUGACACUGCGCCGAAAAUGUACCGGGGCUAAACAUAUUACCGAAGCUGUGGAUUGUCCUUUGGACAAUGGUAGGAGAGCGUUCUAAGGGCGUUGAAGCAUGAUCGUAAGGACAUGUGGAGCGCUUAGAAGUGAGAAUGCCGGUGUGAGUAGCGAAAGACGGGUGA
rnacentral:rRNA from 1 species